rnacentral:rRNA from 1 species
CGAACGCUGGCGGCAUGCCUAACACAUGCAAGUCGAACGAGACCUUCGGGUCUAGUGGCGCACGGGUGCGUAACGCGUGGGAAUCUGCCCUUGGGUUCGGAAUAACUCAGAGAAAUUUGAGCUAAUACCGGAUGAUGACGAAAGUCCAAAGAUUUAUCGCCCAAGGAUGAGCCCGCGUAAGAUUAGCUUGUUGGUGGGGUAAUGGCCCACCAAGGCGACGAUCUUUAGCUGGUCUGAGAGGAUGAUCAGCCACACUGGGACUGAGACACGGCCCAGACUCCUACGGGAGGCAGCAGUGGGGAAUAUUGGACAAUGGAGGCAACUCUGACCCAGCGACGCCGCGUGCGGGAUGAAGGCCUUCGGUUGUAAACCGCUUUCAGUAGGAAGAAGCGAAAGUGACGGUACCUACAAAGAAGCACCGGCUAACUAUGCGCCAGCCG